rnacentral:misc_RNA from 1 species
GAUGAAGAACGUAGCGAAAUGCGAUACGUAGUGUGAAUUGCAGAAUUCAGUGAAUCAUCGAAUCUUUGAACGCACAUUGCACCUCUCGGUAUUCCGGGAGGUAUGCCUGUUCGAGCGUCAUUUGUACCCUCAAGCUCUGCUUGGUGUUGGGUGUUUGUCCCGCCUCUGUGUGUGAACUCGCCUCAAAACAAUUGGCAGCCGGCGUACUUGUUUCGGAGCGCAGCACAUUUUGCGAUCCAGAUCAACGUACAGCGGCAUCCAAGAAGCCUUAUUUAACGCUCUUGACCUCGAAUCAGGUAGGGAUACCCGCUGAACUUAAGCAUAUCAAUAAGCGGAGGA